rnacentral:rRNA from 1 species
CGCGUGUAGCAAUACACGAGUGGCGCACGGGUGAGUAACGCGUGGAUAUCUGCCUUUUGGUUCGGAAUAACUCCGGGAAACUGGAGCUAAUACCGGAUGGUUCCUACGGGAUAAAGAUUUAUCGCCAAAAGAUGAGUCCGCGUACGAUUAGCUAGUUGGUGAGGUAAUGGCUCACCAAGGCGACGAUCGUUAGCUGGUCUGAGAGGACGAUCAGCCACACUGGGACUGAGACACGGCCCAGACUCCUACGGGAGGCAGCAGUGGGGAAUAUUGGACAAUGGGGGCAACCCUGAUCCAGCCAUGCCGCGUGAGUGAUGAAGGCCUUCGGGUUGUAAAGCUCUUUUGGCGGGGACGAUGAUGACGGUACCCGCAGAAUAAGCCCCGGCUAACUUCGUGCCAGCAGCCGCGGUAAGACGAAGGGUUUUUCGCUUUUUUUCGGAAUUACUGCGCCCCCCCCCCAGUGUAGGUGGUUGUCAUAGUCAGAUGUGAAAGCCUUGAGCUCAACUCAAGAAAUGCACUUGAUACUGGGCGACUAGAGGACCGGAGAGGAUAGUGGAAUUCCCAGUGUAGUGGUGAAAUACGUAGAGAUUGGGAAGAACACCAGUGGCGAAGGCGGCUAUCUGGACGGUUUCUGACACUAAGACUCGAAA